AAUCUGUCACUUGAGGGUUCAGACGUCAAACGGGACUGAGAUUGUGUGACGCCACCAACCUCUGCAUGCUCUGCCUUGACCCGCCCGGCAGCAACAUUUGACGCCGGAGGAGUCGCAUGGGAUGAACGCACGUGGUUCUUGGACUCGCUGGGGCAUGUAGCUGCGUCACGAGAUACUCUGCCAUGCCAUCACACAUCAGGCAUAAAUACACUUGGCAGCAACCGGUCUUGAGGCAGUCAUCACUCUUCUUCAGCUUGUACUCUGCCUAGAGCAAAAUGGCACUUGAUAACAACUCACCCGUUCAGUCGGCCCCUUCCGUCAGCGACCCUCCGGCCGCGCCGGCGCCGGCCGCUAAUCCUCCAGCCGCUCCGGGCAGCGAUCCUCUGGUUACUCCGGCUGCUCCUGGAUGUGAUCCUCCGGCAGCUCCUCCCGUUACGCCUCCGGCUCCGGCAGAUCCGGAUCCAGACAGCGAGAACCGUAACGCCCCUACCCAAUUUCUUCGUGAUCCAUGAUGUUGUGAGCUGGGGCACGGUCACCACCAGCCAUUGUGACCUAGUAAUCCUGACGCUGUUUGGCAAAAACUUCUAUUCUGAAAUGCGUCGAAAUCAAUUUAGAUUUAAAUUUCAAAAAAGAGAUCCUUGGUAGUUGGCAUAUGCUGAUAUGUAAAGAUUAGUUGGCAUAUGCUGCUAUGUAAAGAUUAUUAGCAUGUUGCUGGGUUAUUAUUGUAAUCAAGGUUGUUGGGCGUAUGUUUAGCAAAUUGGAUCCAUUAUUAUGGUGUACAUUUAUUGUGAUGUUGCUGUCAAUUUUGCUAGACUAGUAAGCUCGCAUGUGGAAUCCA